rnacentral:rRNA from 1 species
UACAGAGGUCCCAAGCGUUGUUCGGAUUUACUGGGCGUAAAGGGUGCGUAGGCGGCGCGGUAAGUCGGGUGUGAAAUCUUGGAGCUUAACUCCGAAACUGCAUUCGAUACUGCCGUGCUCGAGGACUGGAGAGGAGACUGGAAUUUACGGUGUAGCGGUGAAAUGCGUAGAUAUCGUAAGGAAGACCAGUGGCGAAGGCGGGUCUCUGGACAGUUCCUGACGCUGAGGCACGAAGGUCAGGGGAGCAAACGGG